CGAAGCGUGCGAUUGGAUUGCACGUCUAAGCAGUAAGGCUGAGUAUUAGGCAAAUCCGGUACUCGUUAAGGCUGAGCUGUGAUGGGGAGAAGACAUUGUGUCUUCGAGUCGUUGAUUUCACACUGCCGAGAAAAGCCUCUAGAUAGAAAAUAGGUGCCCGUACCGCAAACCGACACAGGUAGUCAAGAUGAGAAUUCUAAGGUGAGCGAGCGAACUCUCGUUAAGGAACUCGGCAAAAUGACCCCGUAACUUCGGGAGAAGGGGUGCUCUUUAGGGUUAACGCCCAGAAGAGCCGCAGUGAAUAGGCCCAAGCGACUGUUUAUCAAAAACACAGGUCUCUGCUAAACCGUAAGGUGAUGUAUAGGGGCUGACGCCUGCCCGGUGCUGGAAGGUUAAGAGGAGUGGUUAGCUUCUGCGAAGCUACGAAUCGAAGCCCCAGUAAACGGCGGCCGUAACUAUAACGGUCCUAAGGUAGCGAAAUUCCUUGUCGGGUAAGUUCCGACCCGCACGAAAGGCGUAACGAUUUGGGCACUGUCUCAACGAGAGACUCGGUGAAAU
rnacentral:rRNA from 1 species